rnacentral:rRNA from 1 species
UGAGGAAUAUUGGACAAUGGAGGCAACUCUGAUCCAGCCAUGCCGCGUGCAGGAAGACUGCCCUAUGGGUUGUAAACUGCUUUUAUACAGGAAGAAACCUUUCCACGUGUGGAGAGCUGACGGUACURUAAGAAUAAGGAUCGGCUAACUCCGUGCCAGCAGCCGCGGUAAUACGGAGGAUCCAAGCGUUAUCCGGAAUCAUUGGGUUUAAAGGGUCCGUAGGUGGAUAAUUAAGUCAGAGGUGAAAGCCUGCAGCUCAACUGUAGAAUUGCCUUUGAUACUGGUUAUCUUGARUCAUUGUGAAGUGGUUAGAAUAUGUAGUGUAGCGGUGAAAUGCAUAGAUAUUACAYAGAAUACCAAUUGCGAAGGCAGAUCACUAACAAUAUAUUGACACUGAUGGACGAAAGCUGGGGAGCGAACAGGAUUAGAUACCCCGGUAGUCCACGCCGUAAACGAUGGUCACUAGCUGUUSGGACUUCGGUUUGAGUGGCCAAGCGAAAGCGAUA